rnacentral:rRNA from 1 species
UCGACCUCAAAUCAGGUAGGACUACCCGCUGAACUUAAGCAUAUCAAUAAGCGGAGGAAAAGAAACUAACAAGGAUUCCCCUAGUAACUGCGAGUGAAGCGGGAAGAGCUCAAAUUUAAAAUCUGGCGUGCCUCUGGUCGCCCGAGUUGUAGUCUGGAGAAGCGUUUUCCGUGCUGGACCGUGUACAAGUCCCUUGGAAUAGGGCGUCGUAGAGGGUGAGAAUCCCGUCUUUGACACGGACUGCCAGUGCUCUGUGAUGCGCUCUCAAAGAGUCGAGUUGUUUGGGAAUGCAGCUCAAAAUGGGUGGUARAUUCCAUCUAAAGCUAAAUAUAGGCGAGAGACCGAUAGCGAACAAGUACCGUGAGGGAAAGAUGAAAAGCACUUUGGAAAGAGAGUUAAACAGUACGUGAAAUUGCUGAAAGGGAAACGCUUGAAGUCAGUCGCGUCUGCCAGGACUCAGCCUUUUGGUGCAAUUUCUGGUGGAUGGGCCAGCAUCGAUUUUGACUGUCGGAGAAAGUUGGAGGGAAUGUGGCACCUUCGGGUGUGUUAUAGCCCUCCAUUGCAU